GACGAACGCUGGCGGCGUGCUUAACACAUGCAAGUCGAACGCUGAAGCUCAGCUUUUGUUGGGUGGAUGAGUGGCGAACGGGUGAGUAACACGUGAGUAACCUGCCUCCUUCUUUGGGAUAACGCCCGGAAACGGGUGCUAAUACUGGAUAUUCACUGGUCUUCGCAUGGGGGUUGUUGGAAAGGGCUUUUCUGGUGGGGGAUGGGCUCGCGGCCUAUCCGCUUGUUGGUGGGGUGAUGGCCUACCAAGGCGUUGACGGGUAGCCGGCCUGAGAGGGUGACCGGUCACAUUGGGACGGAGAUGCGGCCCAGGCUCCGACGGGGGGCAGCAGUGGGGGAUAUUGGAGAAUGGGCGCAAGCCUGAUGCAGCGACGGCGCGUGAGGGAUGGAGGCCGUCGGGUUGUGAACCUCUUUCGCUCAUGGUCAAGCCGCAACAAUGGUUGUGGUGAGGGUAGUGGGUAAAGAAGCGCCGGCUAACUACGUG
rnacentral:rRNA from 1 species